rnacentral:rRNA from 1 species
UACAGAGGUCUCGAGCGUUGUUCGGAUUCAUUGGGCGUAAAGGGCGCGUAGGCGGCGGGGUAAGUCUGGUGUGAAAUCUCGGAGCUUAACUCCGAAACUGCAUUCGAUACUGGCGUGCUUGAGGACUGGAGAGGAGACUGGAAUUCAUGGUGUAGCAGUGAAAUGCGUAGAGAUCAUGAGGAAGACCAGUGGCGAAGGCGGGUCUCUGGACAGUUCCUGACACUGAGACACGAAGUCCAGGGGAGCAAACGGG